rnacentral:rRNA from 1 species
AUUGAACGCUGGCGGCAGGCCUAACACAUGCAAGUCGAGCGGAUGAAGGGAGCUUGCUCCUGGAUUCAGCGGCGGACGGGUGAGUAAUGCCUAGGAAUCUGCCUGGUAGUGGGGGAUAACGUCCGGAAACGGGCGCUAAUACCGCAUACGUCCUGUGGGAGAAAGUGGGGGGUCUUCGGACCUUUAGCUAUCAGAUGAGCCUAGGUCGGAUUAGUUAGUUGGGGGGGUGAGGGCCUACCAAGGGGCGAACCCGUACUUGGUCUGAGAGACUGAUCAGUCACACUGGAACUGAGACACGGUCCAGACUCCUACGGGAGGCAGCAGUGGGGAAUAUUGGACAAUGGGCGAAAGCCUGAUCCAGCCAUGCCGCGUGUGUGAAGAAGGUCUUCGGAUUGGAAAGCACUUUAAGUUGGGAGGAAGGGCAGUAAGUUAAUACCUUGCUGUUUUGACGUUACCAACAGAAUAAGCACCGGCUAACUUCGUG